AUAGAUACCCGGUAGUCCACGCCGUAAACGAUGAAUGCCAGCCGUUGGGGUGCAUGCGACUUCAGUGGCGCAGCUAACGCUUUAAGCAUUCCGCCUGGGGAGUACGGUCGCAAGAUUAAAACUCAAAGGAAUUGACGGGAGCCCGCACAAGCGGUGGAGCAUGUGGUUUAAUUCGAAGCAACGCGCAGAACCUUACCAGCUUUUGACAUGUCCGGUUUGAUUGGCAGAGAUGCCUUUCUUCAGUUCGGCUGGCCGGAACACAGGUGCUGCAUGGUUGUCGUCAGCUCGUGUCGUGAGAUGUUGGGUUAAGUCCCGCAACGAGCGCAACCCUCGCCCCUAGUUGCCAUCAUUCAGUUGGGAACUCUAGGGGACUGCCGGUGAUAAGCCGCGAGGAAGGUGGGGAUGACGUCAAGUCCUCAUGGCCCUUACAGGCUGGGCUACACACGUGCUACAAUGGCGUGACAAUGGGCAGCGAAGGGGUGACCCGGAGCUAAUCUCAAAAAGCCGUCUCAGUUCGG
rnacentral:rRNA from 1 species